ACAGCGGCAGCCAAAAAGGAGAAAUCGACUACUACUACUACUACGGAGGUCGGCGCUCUCGUCGAAAAAUUCCUCCGGAAGGCUGUUGGAUGGUACCCAGAGCAAACGAGGUCACUUCGAUUCUGGAUACAGCAUAAGCGAUGGAAGUUUCGAUUGUAAGCGUUGGUCCCAGGAGGAUCCGCACGAUAGUAAUGGACCCUAUUCGCCCAAAUGGUCGCCCAUUCCAAUGCAUACAGGCUUCAGUGGGAAACCACCACCAGCUUCAGUUGCACCAACAGCAGCAAGAGCUACAGCUGGUCGUUCUAAUGUUGUUCCUCUGUCUGUUAGGUCUGCUCAAUGACGAAAGCCACAGUUGUGGAGCCAUAAUAGGUUCGCUUGGGGAGCACACAUCCCGCUGCAGGAUCAGCACGAAAGAAAGAAGCAGUCGAAUAAGGCCGACAUUUCUCCAGAAGGUGAUUUGACACUUGGUAGUGUCCGAUGGAAAGAUGUGAACGUUAGGAAAUAUCCAACCUUAUAGCACCAACACUAACAUCCCCCUACGCAUGUCGCGUUACACCUGAAUAUUCCAUGCUUCUUAUUCAAAAAGUAAUAAAGUUUUGAUAAAACUCUUAAAUAGUUUUAAGAAAUACGACGUGCAUGACUAUUCGAAU